rnacentral:lncRNA from 1 species
AAACUUCAAAAACAUUACUAAAAUCAGAGGUUGCCAGAAUCAUGAUAUGGACCUUUGGACACGGUUAAUACCAUUAACAGCCUACUGUAAUGAAUCAAAUAAUAUUGAAAUGAAUUUAUUAGCAACUGAUCAGAUCAUAGGUAACAAACUCAUUUAGUUCAUGUCCAUUGUACAUAAUUCCCCCUGACAUCUUCAAAAAUUAGAUUGACUGUAAUCAGCAUGUCAGUAACAUAAUAAUGCAAAUUAUCUAAGAAUUCAGGAUAUUAUAUUAUUUUAUUU